GUUUACUUGUAUGAUGAAGAUUGUGUUGGUAGGGACAUCUGAGAAUAACUGAUGAAUGCCAACAUCUCUGACAUGUAUAA